CAAACGAAUAAGUUCGUUAAAGACCUCGGGAUAGUUUUGGACCUUAAGGCCCAAUGGGCUUCGAACAUCAAGCCCAUUGACUUAAGUUGUAUGACAACUUAAUGAAUAAUGAUUCACAAAGGCCCAAUUAGCCCAAUAAUGCCCUAAGGCCGGCCAUUUAGAGAUGGAGUGAGUUUUGGAUUUAUUUACAAGUUUGCCACUCCAAUGAAUUAAGGUAUAAAUAUGACUUUAUAGCCAAAAUUCAUUUAGGGUUUUCUUUUGGGGAAAGGAUGAGAACAUAAACUCUCCUUUCUCUCUAAAGUGGCCGGCCUCCUUGGAGGGUUUAGCUAGCAAUCCUACUACUCUAGGUCACUCAUUUCUUCUCCAAUCUAACCUUGGUGAAGAGACUUAGAGGUUCUCAAUUUUGGGAACUUUGAGAACCAUUUCAUCCAUCCAAAUCCAUAGAUCUAAGAUGCAAGGAAUGAAGGCCCUCUCUUUGGGUGAUUAGCCUUUGCUUAUGCAAAGAGGAAUCUACAAAGGUAUAAUUUCUCAACUAACAAAUGUUGUUUUAAGUUUAGUCAAGGUUCACCAAUCUACUAGGUUUUGAAUUUCAUGGUUAAUGUUUUGUUUUUAAGUGCAUACAAGCAUGAUUCUGCCUUUUAAUUGUUAAUUGUAUGCUAUAGAUGUUGCUUAAAUGAACAUGUUUUUCACAAAAUUUCCUUCAUGGAGAAGCACAGUUAAAUCACAGAUCCAUACACCACAGAACUGAGUACAACUAUUAUUACUAGAUCUACAACAAUUCAACUUGCAAGGAUAUGAAAUUUUACCUCCCAGAUUCACCGAUCUGGGCUCUUGGAAGCUUGUGCCGUUUUUGUCUAUUGAAGCUGAUGUUUGUCCAUCCGCUUCCUUUCCCAUGGGCUCUAUCAUGGAUCAGCAUUCCUUGAGCACAAAAAAAAAAAAAAAAAAAAACAACAACAACAACAAUGAAACCAUGUUGGGACAUAAAUACCAUUUUUACAAAUCAAGACACCACAACCCAGGAUUCAUUUUACCUUCGGAUGGGAGGCGGAUUUGUGAUGUCCAAGCGGGUCCUGUUUUCUUCCUUUGUUCUGGGACCAGAUUUGUUGUCCUGCACAGUUCACAACAGAAAGACUAAUGACACUAUGGCUUUUUGAUCCAGGUUAUGUAUCCUUUAAAACACACAACAUUGUGAAAUUCAUUUUAGGUCUGCAGGUCUUAUUCAUUUUGUUAUUUGUUCAUCAGAUCUCGGCUCCUUUACGUUUUAGGGUCCAUAUUUUUUGUGGUCAUUUAGUUUUCGUUAAGUCUAAUGCAUUUCCAGUCCCCUUUCAUCAUAUACAUGUUAGUUCGUAUGUUGUUAGCUCGAUGCAUGCUUAAACCCGCAUAUACAUAUGGUUUUUGUUAACAUUUUUCUCAGAUCCAUGGACGAAAUUAAUCAUGCCAUUUAAAUCAGAGCAGGGCUGAGUUUAUACCUUCAUAACCAAUAGAUCACGACUUUUAAGAUGUGUCAUGCUUUCUGUCCAAUGGAUUUUUAGUUUGAGAAAUCUUUCUCUCGGAUCUUUCACGGAUCUGAGUUUUUUGCAUACAUACCAUACCAUUAUAAUUACAUGCACAAGUAAUGAAGAUAUUUUCUCAGAACAUAGGGUUCAUUAACCUACGGAGUACAAAAUUUUUACCUUUUGCAGGACCCGGAUCUGCAGUGUUGUAGUUGUUGUUCCUUUUCAUUGCCGUUGCAGCAUUUUCAGGUCAUUGCCGUUUGCACAUUUAUAAUAUACAGAGAUCUGAGACCAACAUGCAUCAGUCACAGAACCAUGAUGUUCAACCAGUUACUCAGAGACUAUUAAAAAAAAAAAAAAAAAAAGGGACGAAGGUGUGUUACCUGCUGAUGGCUGGUUUAUGGACAAUCGACCAUAGAUCUACCAGUAUUUGGGGUGCAAGGUUGGUGCUGCUGUGAGAGAGGAGGAGGCUGAAUUUCUAAGAGACAGAAGGUUCUUACGUUUUUAGGAGUAAUGAAAGAGAGAGGGAGUAGAGAUGAAUUGGGGACAAUUGAGAAAAAUGUGAGAGAAAGGGAGGUCUUUCCCUUUUAGAGAGAACUGGUUGAUGAUAGAAAUGGACCAUAAUGGAGCUUUUCAGUUGAAAUCUUAAGGAACUCACUACCGGAUGCACGACACGUGUACAAAUCUGGCGUUUUUCUUGUCUGUCCGAGAACGUUGUUUUGAACUAGGGAAAUAAGGAGCUGUUUGGCUCGGGGUUUAAUGAAAAGAAGAAAGUUGUUGGCUGACUCUGAGCUCGAGACAGAUUAAAGAGGAUCCAAUGUUUAUUUCAAAGGGCAUUGCGUGCAGCAAGUGGCCCCGUGCAGAUUUUUUUUUAAUUUUAUUAUUAUUUUUUUUAAUGGCUGCCAUCAAUCAUGGCCUAUUGUCCAGCUGCAUGCCUUUCUUCCAGGGAAUCCAAUGUUCAUUGGACCUUUGUUUUGCACGUUGGGUUUCAAACCCUAUGGCUGCCACGUGUUCUUUGUCAAGGCUAAAAGGUUGGCACACCAUGAUCUUUUACCAUGGCACUAGGACCUGAUUUCGAAUCAGGUGAGUCUUUUAUAUAAUCUUAUUUUAUUUUAUUUUAUUUUUUUUAGUUUAUUUCGUCUAGGUUGUUGUUUGUCUUUUCCAGUUUUGUUUCUUUUUAGUUCAUUUAGUUUCUUUUAUUAUUCCACACCUUGAGGACAAAGUGUGAAAUAAGUUUGGGGGUGGGAAAUAACAUUUUUGGUUUUUAAUUUUUGUGUCAGUUAAAAAUUUUCAUUUUAUUUAAGUUCAUAUCCAUAUAUUAUUUUAAACGUUAGAGCAAAUGGACAUGGUAAAGAUUAAUCCCACAUUAGAGUUUUUUCUAUUUAUCGUUGCUUAGACACUAAUUCAUGAUUAUACUUUGAACUUUGCACAUCACACCAACAUGGUUUGUGGGGAGUGAGAUUGAAACACUUGCUUUUAGUCUAAGUUUAUUUUUAAAUUUAAAUUUUUGUUUUAAGUAAAGUCAGUUAUUAGUGUGAAAAAAGUAAUAAUUGUCUCACCCGAGGUUUUGCCUAGUAACCGGGCUAGUCCUGCCUAAUCAGCAGUGAUUCUCGUGUCAAACGGUAGAGUUUUGGCAUGGGGCAGGGUGGUUAGUUGGUUUCGUAGCCUUUUCAGCUCGGGUUAAUAAGUCCUUAGGGGUGUUCUACACCAAAUGCCCUAAAGCCCUAGUGGUUUGGGAGUCAUUGACCUAAAGCUCGCUACAUGGGUUGGAUUGAAA
rnacentral:lncRNA from 1 species